rnacentral:rRNA from 1 species
UAUGUGAUCGUCUCUCGCAUAUCAAUAAGCGGAGGAAAAGAAACUAACAAGGAUUCCCCUAGUAACGGCGAGUGAAGCGGGAAGAGCUCAAAUUUGAAAUCUUAAAGGGUUUCCCUUUACGAAUUGUAGUUUAAAGAAGUGUUUUCUGUUGAGGUUUUGGUAAAAGUUCUUUGGAAUAGGACAUCAUAGAGGGUGAGAAUCCCGUAUUUGACCUUUACUUUCAACUUUGUGAUACACUUUCAAAGAGUCGGAUUGUUUGGGAAUGCAGUCCAAAAUGGGUGGUAAAUUUCAUCUAAAGCUAAAUAUUGGCGAGAGACCGAUAGCGAACAAGUACCGUGAGGGAAAGGAUGAAAAGAACUUUGAAAAGAGAGUUAAACAGUACGUGAAAUUGUCAAAAGGGAAGCGUUUGACACCAGUGUUGUUUUUCUGAAAAUCAAUUAAAGAACUGUUUAUGCUAAGCUGUUUAGACUUUAUCAGCUAUCUGUUUAGUUUUGAGCUUUUCUUUAAUGCACUUUUCAGUUAACAAGUCAAUCAUCAAUUUCUUUUGCUGUAAAAAAGCUUGAGGAAGGUGGCUUGAGAUUCGUCUUAAGUGUUUAUAGCCUCUUGCCUAUGCAGUCGGAGAGAUUGAGGUCUGCAGCGUAGAUCCUUCGGGGCUAAAUGCAUUUGUGCUAAGUUAUAGCAUUUUAUAGACAACUUGUUGACUAUGAUUUGUCUUGUAGCUUACUCGCUUAUGUUAUUUUACCUACGCUUAGGAUGUUGAGCGCAUGUCUCUCUCU